rnacentral:rRNA from 1 species
AGAUUGAACGCUGGCGGCAUGCCUUACACAUGCAAGUCGAACGGUAGAGUAGCAAUACUUGAGAGUGGCGAACGGGUGAGUAAUAUAUCGGAACGUGCCCAGUCGUGGGGGAUAACGUAGAGAAAUUUACGCUAAUACCGCAUACGAUCUAAGGAUGAAAGCGGGGGACCGUAAGGCCUCGCGCGAUUGGAGCGGCUGAUAUCAGAUUAGGUUGUUGGUGAGGUAAAAGCUCACCAAGCCGACGAUCUGUAGCUGGUUUGAGAAG